rnacentral:lncRNA from 1 species
GCUCCACUUCACACGCACCCUCGAGCUACUGAGCUGAUAACUAUCCUGGAGGGUACUGUCUAUGCAGGAUUUCUUGUCCCCAAUCCUGCAAACUUCUUUAAGAGUCGUCUCUUCUCCAAAGUCUUGAAUCCUGGUGAUGUGUUUGUAAUCCCAAAAGGUCUUAUUCACUUCCAGUAUAAUGUGGGAAACAAAAAAGCUACUUAUUUCGCUAUUUUCAACAGUCAAAAUCCUGGAUUUGUCAUUAUUCCUAAUUCAAUCUUUGCUUCAAAUCCACCUAUUUCGGACGACGUUCUUGCCAAAGGCUUCAUGCUUAAUAAGACAGAGAUUGCAGUACUUCGAAAGAAAUUCUCUUAGGCUAUACUAUAUGUUAUUAAAAAUAUGAUUCUGUGUUUUCUGAAAGUUGGUUGCAGCACAUAAGCUGCUCACCAGCGUCUUAUGAGUUGGAACAAUACUUGACCCCUAAUAAAUAAAGUGGCAGUGUAUGUAAGUAUAAUCUUUCUUUGCAAUAUAUACUAAUGAAUAAGCACUAUGUUGGUCAUGCACCUGGUGUGAUGAGAGUGAAAUUGACAUGCUUAAUGGCUAUCAAGUGUAAAGUUGAAAUGAUUUUCCUGGAAAGGACAUAUAUCUUAUUAGUCGAUUAAGAUGCUUUCCUGGAGUUUCAAUUAUAUAAGUUCGAGCUCUAGGACCAAUUCUUGAGUUUCCCUAGUAAAAGUUGAAAAACUUUUAUAUACUUAUACUAUUAUUUUAGAUUAGUAUUAGUUAGUGAUCCAAACUUAGUGAUGAACUGUUGACACUGGUCCUACAUUUUUUCAACUAUACAACAUGAAAUCUAGCAAUGUAGUUGGACUCUAAUGUCGAUGCGUAUGAAUCAUUUCCUGUAGAAUAUUUUCAAUCCAAGUUGAAAUAGGAAAAGUCACAAGCACCACUAGACUCGAUCACCGGUUGAACGUUAGUAGGAUCUGAUAUUCAUUACUUACUCAGAUAGGAAGUUGACAGUCUCAAUCUAGUGGUGUGGUCCACAACGACUUUGUUGAUCCAAGGGGUUUUUUGUUUUUAUUGCAAUAAGUGUUCCUUUUUUUUCUUUUAACUUGCAACACUUGCUACUUUGAAGUUGAAAACUAGAUUUUAUGCAAAUUGCACGCUAAGUCUUUGGUAUGGGUGUCCCGGUCUAAUAAUCUACAAAGAAAGGAGAGGGAAUGACAUAUCAAUCUAAGAUCCUUCUCCUCUUAGAAAGAGGAGAAAAUAUCCAAAAUUGUCCUUGUGGUUUGCAAAAAAGGUCUGAUUCUGUCCUCUGUUAAAGCUUAGGUCCCAUCGUGCCCCCGCUAUUAUCACACGGGCACACAUUUGCCCUAAUUAUCCAACUUAGCUAACAAAAUUAUUAAAAUGGAUUUCAAAACUUUUAAAAUGAUAAAAAAAAAAAAGUUCUAGAAUUCUCCGGGUGAUUGUGGCUUUUGAGUGGAAGUGGAAGCCAUUGAAGAUCUAGGAAUGUUUGGGUGGCCAUUUCUGAUAGAAGUUUUUUUCUAGAGAUCAGUGGUUUCAGGUUUCGCAAUGCUUGUAGAUGAUACCGUGCCUUACAAUGAGAUGAUAUAUAACUAAAAGGUAAAAAUGCUAAGAUAGUGCCGAGUACUGAACUUUGACCCUCCAAUUUUGGGUGUGCACAAGUAGAUACUUAAAUUUGUAUAAAAUUGAACAAUUAAACACAUGCAUAUACAUGACAUCCUAUAUGACAAUUCACAUCCUACAUAGCGUCCUAUGUGUAAUAUGCCACGUAAAAUGUGUGUGUCUACUUAUUCAAUUUUAUACAAGUUUAAGUACCUACUUGUGCACACUCAAAGUUGGAGGGGAUGUCAACUGAAGCGGCUAAGUUAAAUGGAACAUUUAUGUAUUAUGCUCAUUUUUCAGAGAAUGGUCAAAAUUGUACCUAACCAAUUCAGUAUGUUUUACUUUUACAUUUCGUCUAUCUAUUGGUCCUCAAAGCCUAACCUAUUGUUUUCUAGCCAAAAUUUACCCCUCUUCUAAACGAAAAAUUACAUAAUUUCGCGACACCAUAUAAUUGGCAUAAGCCAUACAUAAAUGUGCUCCUUAACUUAACUUCAACAAGCAUCUAUGCUCUUCAACUUUGGGGUGUGCACAUGUAAACACUUAAACUUCCAAUAGUUGAACAAGUAGACACACACAUCUUAUAUGGCGUCUUAUGUGGUAGUUUUGUGUCCUACAUGGCAUCCUACAUGUAUUAUGCCACAUAGGACGCAUGUGUAUGUCUACUUGUUUAACUUUUGGAUAGUUUAAGUGUCUACUUGUGAAUACCUAAAGUUGGAGGGCGUAACGCCAGUUGAGACCAAGUUAAAGGACACAUUUAUAUAAUACGCCCCACAUAAUUGGUUCAUGUGGAACUUUAACUCUAAUAGUAGCAGUACCAAGUAGUGUGGAUUCAAGCUUUUCAAUAUGUUAGAGUGAGUUAGAAUCCCACAUUGAUUGUGGAAAGGACCAAUGGGUUUAUGCAAUGCUUUCCUCGUGAGCUAGCUUUUAGGGUUGAGUUAGGCCUAAGUGUCAUAUUUUUACAUAAUACAUAUUAUUUUUCUCGGAUAUUUUGAACUAGAUGAGAGUAUAAGUAGUCAAACCUUUCUUCCUGGCUGUUUGGAAAAAAGCCCAUCACAAAUCCAAAGCAUAAUAAUGAGUAUGUGGUGGUUCAUAACAACAUUAGCCAUUACUGCUUUCAUUUCUUAUUCCCCUGCUUAUGCUUAUGAUAACAACCCUCUACAGGACAUAUGUGUUGCUGUUAACGACUCUCAGGCUGCAGGUAAAUCAUCCUUCAAUAUUUUGUUUGGGAAUGAGGCGUAGUUUUUGGAUAUACGUUGUAUAAUUUAUGUCUGCUCUUAUUAUCUGAAUAAUAUGCUCAGUUUCAUUUUAUUUCACCUGUGCAGUUUUCGUGAAUGGAAAGAUUUGCAAAGACCCAAAGCUUGCAACAGCGAAUGAUUUCUAUUUUUCAGGCCUUAAUGUUAGUGGAAAUGUAGUGCCUGGGCUUGGUUUUGCUUCAACUCGUGUGGCUGUAAACAACAUGCCUGGACUUAACACUCUUGGUAUGUUUCUUGGUCGUACUGACUUGGAACCUCAACGUCUUGCUCAAUUUCACACGCACCCUCGAGCUACUGAGUUGAUAACUAUCCUGGAGGGUACUCUCUAUACAGGAUUUCUUGUCCCUGAUGCUGCAAACUUCUUUAAGAGUCGUCUCUUCUCCAAAAUCAUUAAUCCUGGUGAUGUGUUUGUGUUCCCAAAAGGUCUUAUUCACUUCCAGUAUAAUAUGGGAAACAAAAAAGCUACUUAUCUCUCCUUUUUCAACAGUCAAAAUCCUGGAUUUGUCAUUAUUCCUAACUCAAUCUUUGCUUCAAAUCCACCUAUUUCGGACAACAUUCUUGCCAAAGGCUUCCAGCUUAAUAAGACAGAUAUUGCACUACUUCGAAAGAAAUUCUCUUAGGCUAUAUUAUAUGUCAUAAAAAAUGUCACUCUGUGUUUUCUGAAUGAUUUUUGGAAGCUUUAUAUGAAAGCCUUGGAAUAAAACUCUUCUAAUAAAUGUUGUUCUUUGUAUUUUUCCGUA